rnacentral:rRNA from 1 species
AUUGAACGCUGGCGGCAUGCCUUACACAUGCAAGUCGAACGGUAACAGGUUAAGCUGACGAGUGGCGAACGGGUGAGUAAUGUAUCGGAACGUGCCCAGUCGUGGGGGAUAACUGCUCGAAAGAGCAGCUAAUACCGCAUACGACCUGAGGGUGAAAGCGGGGGAUCGCAAGACCUCGCGCGAUUGGAGCGGCCGAUAGCAGAUUAGGUAGUUGGUGAGGUAAAGGCUCACCAAGCCGACGAUCUGUAGCUGGUCUGAGAGGACGACCAGCCACACUGGGACUGAGACACGGCCCAGACUCCUACGGGAGGCAGCAGUGGGGAAUUUUGGACAAUGGGCGCAAGCCUGAUCCAGCCAUGCCGCGUGCGGGAAGAAGGCCUUCGGGUUGUAAACCGCUUUUGUCAGGGAAGAAAAGGUUCUGGCUAAUACCUGGGACUCAUGACGGUACCUGAAGAAUAAGCACCGGCUAACUACGUGCCAGCAGCAGCCGCAG